rnacentral:lncRNA from 1 species
UUGGACACGGAGCCUGGCUCUGGGCAGAGCUUGGUGGCUCCACACUGUCCCUCCCUGCCAGCCAGGAGGUGCAGGAGCAGUCCUGGCCAAGCCUGGGAGCACCAAGCUGCUCCUGGUGGGACCACAACUGAUGCUCACCCAGGUUUAGGCAGAGUCACCAGCAUCCUACAGACCUGCCCAGCCCCUCUUUAUCUGGAACUCAUCCCAACCACAGCAAUGUUCCACUCACUCUCCAUAGCUUUUUUUUAAGACUCCAGUGAUGCUCUACCCAUCUUACUGCAGCUCCCAGACAACUCCAGAAAACACCUGAGUAAAUGAAGGCAGCCACAGACCUCUCUCUGGAGGAUCAGCCAUCAGAAGUUUAGGAAAUCCUGCCACAAAUGAAGAAACAUGUUCCAGACAAAACUUUCUUACAUCUGAAUUAUUGGAAUAAACAAUAAGGAAAAUGGACAAAAAAGAUGUACCUAGUAUUUCCCUUCACCUUCCCAGAUGCAAAGCAAGGUACUGAGGAAUCACAAGAGGUGUUUGUUGCCAGGGAUCUCUGAAUGCUGUCAAGUCCAAAUCCUCUGCUCAGAGCAGCUGCAGCCAGGGCUGGUGCCCAGGGCUCUGCUUGGUCCAACUUUGAAUAUCUUCAGGGGUGGAUACUCCAAAAUCUCUCUGGGUAACCUGUUUCAGUAUUUCACUACACCCAGUGAAAAAGUGUUUUCUUUUGUUUUAGAGGAAUUUCCUAUGUUUCAGGUUUUGUCCAUUUCCUCUGGUCUUGUCACUGCAGAGAAAAGUCUG